UGGGGAAUUUUGGACAAUGGGGGAAACCCUGAUCCAGCCAUCCCGCGUGUGCGAUGAAGGCCUUCGGGUUGUAAAGCACUUUUGGCAGGAAAGAAACGUCGCGGGUUAAUACCCCGCGAAACUGACGGUACCUGCAGAAUAAGCACCGGCUAACUACGUGCCAGCAGCCGCGGUAAUACGUAGGGUGCAAGCGUUAAUCGGAAUUACUGGGCGUAAAGCGUGCGCAGGCGGUUCGGAAAGAAAGAUGUGAAAUCCCAGAGCUUAACUUUGGAACUGCAUUUUUAACUACCGGGCUAGAGUGUGUCAGAGGGAGGUGGAAUUCCGCGUGUAGCAGUGAAAUGCGUAGAUAUGCGGAGGAACACCGAUGGCGAAGGCAGCCUCCUGGGAUAACACUGACGCUCAUGCACGAAAGCGUGGGGAGCAAACAGGAUUAGAUACCCUGGUAGUCCACGCCCUAAACGAUGUCAACUAGCUGUUGGGGCCUUCGGGCCUUGGUAGCGCAGCUAACGCGUGAAGUUGACCGCCUGGGGAGUACGGUCGCAAGAUUAAAACUCAAAGGAAUUGGACUGGGGUCGAU
rnacentral:rRNA from 1 species